rnacentral:rRNA from 1 species
UAGAUACCCUGGUAGUCCAUGCCGUAAACGUUGGGCGCUAGGCGUGGGUCUCAUUCCACGAGAUCCGUGUCGCAGCUAACGCAUUAAGCGCCCCGCCUGGGGAGUACGGCCGCAAGGCUAAAACUCAAAGGAAUUGACGGGGGCCCGCACAAGCGGCGGAGCAUGCUGAUUAAUUCGAUGCAACGCGAAGAACCUUACCAAGGCUUGACAUGCACUGGAUCGCCUCAGAGAUGGGGUUUCCCUUUGGGCU